GAUGAAGAACGCAGCGAAAUGCGAUAAGUAAUGUGAAUUGCAGAAUUCAGUGAAUCAUCGAAUCUUUGAACGCACAUUGCGCCCGCCAGUAUUCUGGCGGGCAUGCCUGUCUGAGCGUCAUUUCAACCCUCAUGCCCCUAGGGCGUGGUGUUGGGGAUCGGCCAAAGCCCGCGAGGGACGGCCGGCCCCUAAAUCUAGUGGCGGACCCGUCGUGGCCUCCUCUGCGAAGUAGUGAUAUUCCGCAUCGGAGAGCGACGAGCCCCUGCCGUUAAACCCCCAACUUUCCAAGGUUGACCUCAGAUCAGGUAGGAAUACCCGCUGAACUUAAGCAUAUUAAUAAGCGGAGGA
rnacentral:misc_RNA from 1 species